UUUUGACGAUAAAAGAAAGAAGAGCAUUCUUCAUCUUUUUCUUUGUGUCAUCCUUUAGAGAGAAAAAAUCUCAAAACCUUCAUCCUUCAAUUUCAGUCUUCAAAACUCUAAUCUCUUGUUUUCUAUCAUCUUCCAAGCAUUAACCUUCCUAGAAUUACAAAAAGGAGCAUCAAGAACACCAUUGAUUUUACCAUCGUUUAACUUGUGGGUUUUCCGAGUUUUCGAUUAAAUGUUCGUUCUUCUCACAAUGAAGGUUGUAUUAGCAGAAUGCUUGAAUGGAUUUGGUCCUUGGUGAGCUGUCAUAUUUCCAUCUUCAUAUAUUUCUGUUUGUUAGUAGUGCAAGUUUGGAGCCUUAUAUGGGGUGCUAUUUCAAUAUAUUUUUGUUCUGACAACUAUAAGACCUUAUCAUGAAAUUAGAGCUUGGAUUUUCUUGUA